rnacentral:rRNA from 1 species
AAAGCAACCUGACGUUACCCGCAGAAGAAGCACCGGCUAACUCCGUGCCAGCAGCCGCGGUAAUACGGAGGGUGCAAGCGUUAAUCGGAAUUACUGGGCGUAAAGCGCACGCAGGCGGUCUGUCAAGUCGGAUGUGAAAUCCCCGGGCUCAACCUGGGAACUGCAUUCGAAACUGGCAGGCUAGAGUCUUGUAUAGGGGGUAGAAUUCCAGGUGUAGCGGUGAAAUGCGUAGAGAUCUGGAGGAAUACCGGUGGCGAAGGCGGCCCCCUGGACAAAGACUGACGCUCAGGGUCGACGCGGCCG